rnacentral:lncRNA from 1 species
AUGUGGCACAUCAGAUCUCGUUUUCCAGAGUGUUUUGGGAAGUUGCGGUCUGUCUUCCUAAUGUACGAUCGUGCCGAGCAGAGGGGCUGCAGUCUGAUUCCGCCAUUGCGGCUGCUGCGGUUGCUAGCGAGCAAGCAACCCUUCUCCCAGGGGCUCAGCAGCCUCGCUCUUAUUUGUCUUGCAGUGCUGGCAUUCCUGGCUCUGUGCCAAGUGACUAUCGACAGUCGCAAGCCCCCUUCCCCCCACCGAGCGCACACCCACCACCUCUCCCCUUCCUUGUAUGUGUUCUCACAUACACCCACCACCUCCCCCUUCCUUGUAUGUGUUCUCACACCCACCACCUCCCCCCUUCCUUGUAUGUGUUCUCACACCCACCACCUCCCCCUUCCUUGUAUGUGUUCUCACACCCACCACCUCUCCCCUUCCUUGUAUGUGUUCUCACACCCACCACCUCCCCCUUCCUUGUAUGUGUUCUCACAUACACCCACCACCUCCCCCUUCAUUGUAUGUGUUCUCACAUACACCCACCACCUCCCCCCUUCCUUGUAUGUGUUCUCACAUACACCCACCACCUUCCCCCUUCCUUGUAUGUGUUCUCACAUACACCCACCACCUCCCCCUUCCUUGUAUGUGUUCUCACAUACACCCACCACCUCCCCCUUCCUUGUAUGUGUUCUCGCACCCACCACCUCCCCCUUCCUUGUAUGUGUUCUCACAUACACCCACCACCUCCCCCUUCCUUGUAUGUGUUCUCACACCCACCACCUCCCCCCUUCCUUGUAUGUGUUCUCACAUACACCCACCACCUCCCCCCUUCCUUGUAUGUGUUCUCACACCCACCACCUCCCCCUUCCUUGUAUGUGUUCUCACACCCACCACCUCCCCCCUUCCUUGUAUGUGUUCUCACACCCACCACCUCCCCCCUUCCUUGUAUGUGUUCUCACACCCACCACCUCCCCCCUUCCUUGUAUGUGUUCUCACACCCACCACCUCCCCCUUCCUUGUAUGUGUUCUCACAUACACCCACCACCUCCCCCUUCCUUGUAUGUGUUCUCACAUACACCCACCACCUCCCCCUUCCUUGUAUGUGUUCUCACACCCACCACCUCCCCCCUUCCUUGUAUGUGUUCUCACAUCCACCACCUCCCCCCUUCCUUGUAUGUGUUCUCACACACACCCACCACCUCCCCCUUCCUUGUAUGUGUUCUCACACCCACCACCUCCCCCUUCCUUGUAUGUGUUCUCACAUACACCCACCACCUCCCCCUUCCUUGUAUGUGUUCUCACAUACACCCACCACCUCCCCCUUCCUUGUAUGUGUUCUCACAUACACCCACCACCUCCCCCCUUCCUUGUAUGUGUUCUCACAUACACCCACCACCUCCCCCCUUCCUUGUAUGUGUUCUCACACCCACCACCUCCCCCUUCCUUGUAUGUGUUCUCACACCCACCACCUCCCCCUUCCUUGUAUGUGUUCUCACACCCACCACCUCCCCCUUCCUUGUAUGUGUUCUCACACCCACCACCUCCCCCCUUCCUUGUAUGUGUUCUCACAUACACCCACCACCUCCCCCUUCCUUGUAUGUGUUCUCACACCCACCACCUCCCCCUUCCUUGUAUGUGUUCUCACACACCCACCACCUCCCCCCUUCCUUGUAUGUGUUCUCACAUACACCCACCACCUCCCCCUUCCUUGUAUGUGUUCUCACACCCACCACCUCCCCCUUCCUUGUAUGUGUUCUCACACACCCACCACCUCCCCCUUCCUUGUAUGUGUUCUCACAUACACCCACCACCUCCCCCUUCCUUGUAUGUGUUCUCACAUACACCCACCACCUCCCCCUUCCUUGUAUGUGUUCUCACAUACACCCACCACCUCCCCCCUUCCUUGUAUGUGUUCUCACACCCACCACCUCCCCCCUUCCUUGUAUUUGUUCUCACACCCACCACCUCCCCCCUUCCUUGUAUGUGUUCUCACAUACACCAGAGUGUGGAUAUCAAAAGCAACCUGCACCCCCACCUCCCCCCCUUCCCACCUUCCCACCCCAUCAUACCAUUACCCUCUUUAUUGUACGGUCCUUCCUCUACCCUCUCUCUGAUUGCCUUUUGUCCGCCUUUGUUCCCAGAAGCAGUCUGGUUUAA